rnacentral:tRNA from 1 species
ACCGGGAUGUCGAUACACCGAAGAGCUACCAAACACGAUCACCAACAAGAGAGUAGCAAGUGCUGGCUUGGGGCUCAGAGCU